GACGAACCGUGCGAACGUUGUUCGGAAUCACUGGGCUUAAAGGGCGCGUAGGCGGGCUCACAAGUCAGGGGUGAAAUCCCACGGCUCAACCGUGGAAGUGCCUUUGAUACUGUGGGGCUUGAGGGAGGUAGGGGCGUGCGGAACUUCCGGUGGAGCGGUGAAAUGCGUAGAUAGUACGGAAGGAACACCGGUGGCGAAAGCGGCGCGCGUGGACCUCGUACUGACGCUGAGGCGCGAAAGCCCAGGGGAAGCAAAGCGGGGAUUAAGAAACC
rnacentral:rRNA from 1 species